AGCCAGACUCCUACGGGAGGCAGCAGUGGGGAAUAUUGGGCAAUGGGCGCAAGCCUGACCCAGCAACGCCGCGUGAAGGAAGAAGGCUUUCGGGUUGUAAACUUCUUUUCUCAGGGACGAAGCAAGUGACGGUACCUGAGGAAUAAGCCCCGGCUAACUACGUGCCAGCAGCCGCGGUAAUACGUAGGGGGCAAGCGUUAUCCGGAUUUACUGGGUGUAAAGGGGGCGCAGACGGCGAUGCAAGCCAGGAGUGAAAGCCCGGGGCCCAACCCCGGGACUGCUCUUGGAACUGCGUGGCUAGAGUGCAGGAGGGGCAGGCGGAAUUCCUGGUGUAGCGGUGAAAUGCGUAGAUAUUAGGAGGAACACCAGUGGCGAAGGCGGCUUACUGGACUGUAACUGACGUUGAGGCUCGAAAGCGUGGGGAGCAAACAGGAUUAGAUACCCUCGUAGC
rnacentral:rRNA from 1 species